GGGGGGGAGCGAGCGUUGUUCGGGAAUCACUGGGGCGUAAAGGGCGCGUAGGCGGCCGGAUAAGUCGUGUGUGAAAGACCGGGGGGCUCAACUCCGUGUAUUGCAUGCGAUACUGCCCGGCUAGAGUAAGGUAGAGGCGAGUGGAAUUCCCGGUGUAGCGGUGGAAUGCGUAGAUAUCGGGAAGAACACCUGUGGCGAAGGCGGCUCGCUGGGCCUUUUCUGACGCUGAAGCGCGAAAGCGUGGGGAGCAAACAGGAUUAGAUACCCUGGUAGUCCACGCCGUAAACGAUGGGCACUAGGCGUUGGGAGGAUUGACCCUCUCAGUGCCGCAGCUAACGCGUUAAGUGCCCCGCCUGGGGAGUACGGCCGCAAAGGCUGA
rnacentral:rRNA from 1 species